rnacentral:rRNA from 1 species
UGAGUACGAGCUGCUACGGCAGCGAAGUGGGUGACGUCAAGCUUCCAAGAAAAGCCCUAUACCCGUUAAGGCAUGACGGCCUGUACCCGAAACCGACACAGGUGGGGUGGUAGAGAAUACCGAGGGGCGCGAGGUAACUCUCUCUAAGGAACUCGGCAAAAUGGCCCCGUAACUUCGGGAGAAGGGGUGCCACCGCAAGGUGGUCGCAGUGAAGAGGCCCAGGCGACUGUUUACCAAAAACACAGGUCUCCGCUAAGUCGCAAGACGAUGUAUGGGGGCUGACGCCUGCCCAGUGCCGGAGGGUUAAGGAAGCUGGUCAGCGUAAGCGAAGCUGGCGACUGAAGCCCCGGUGAACGGCGGCCGUAACUAUAACGGUCCUAAGGUAGCGAAAUUCCUUGUCGGGUAAGUUCCGACCCGCACGAAAGGCGUAACGAUCUGGGCGCUGUCUCGGAGAGAGGCUCGGCGAAAUAGAAUUGUCUGUGAAGAUGCGGACUACGUGCACCCGGACAGAAAGACCCUAUGAAGCUUUACUGUAGCUUGGUAUUGUGCCCGGGCUCUGAAUGCGCAGGAUAGGUGGGAGGCUUUGAUCCAUUGCUUGUGGGUGAUGGUGAGCCAACGGUGAGAUACCACUCUUUCAGAGCUAGGGUUCUAACGGUCACCCGUCAUCCGGGGACCGGACAGUAUCAGGUGGGCAGUUUGACUGCGGCGGUCGCCUCCUAAAAGGUAACGGAGGCGCGCAAAGGUUCCCUCAGGCUGGUUGGAAAUCAGCCGACGAGUGUAAAGGCAGAAGGGAGCUUGACUGUGAGACCUACAAGUCGAACAGGGACGAAAGUCGGCCUUAGUGAUCCGACGGUUCUGAGUGGAAGGGCCGUCGCUCAACGGAUAAAAGUUACUCUAAGGAUAACAGGCUGAUCUCCCCCAAGAGUUCACAUCGACGGGGAGGUUUGGCACCUCGAUGUCGGCUCAUCGCAACCUGGGGCUGAAGUCGGUCCCAAGGGUUGGGCUGUUCGCCCAUUAAAGCGGUACGCGAGCUGGGUUCAGAACGUCGUGAGACAGUUCGGUCCAUAUCCGGUGCAUGCGCAGGAAUAUUGAGAGGAUUUCUCCCUAGUACGAGAGGACCGGGAGGAACGCACCUCUGGUGUGCCAGUUAUCGUGCCAACGGUAAACGCUGGGUAGCCAUGUGCGGAGUGGAUAACCGCUGAAAGCAUCUAAGUGGGAAGCCCACCUCAAGAUGAGUAUUCCCAUGGCGUUAGCCAGUAAGGUCACGGGCAGAACACCCGUUGAUAGGCUCUACGUGGAAGCCGGGUAACCGGUGAAGCGGAGGAGUACUAAUAGACCGAGGGCUUGACC